AACACAAAAAGAUCUAGCGACUAAUUGGCAAAAUACAUAAAAAAAAAAAUACACAUCUAGACCUAGACCUAUAUAAUAGGGUUAAGCCUAAAUCAAAGAAAAAAAACAACACAUACAAAAAGAACGCCUAUACACUCUGCAAAAAAAAAAUGAGCGCCGCGGAGAACAAUACAGACUCACCCACUGCUUUUUCUUCGCCGGAAUCAAAAAUCCCAUCGCCGUUGCUUCUUCUUCUUCGCACGGAACACAUGAACGACCAUCUCCACCCUAGACGAAAUUGGUUUCUUCGUUCAUGAUCCAGUUUCGAGCGAAAAUCAGAAAACCAGAUUGAAAGGAAAAAGUUUUAGGGUCGUUGUUCAAAUUCGAGGUCGCCGGAGGCGUCGAGCUGGAAUUUCGUUAAUUUGAGUCCAUUUCGGAGCUCGUGCGUGAGAUUCAUUUGGAGCUGACGAGCGCGAGAUGUCGGUCGAGGUUUAAGUUCGUGAUUUCUGUCCGGAUUUGCUGCUGUUUCUCGGACAGAUUUCGUGGAUUGGAAAUUCUGCAGUCGGACAUCUUGCCACUGAUUGUAGAGCAGUUGACGAGCUAAACUCUAUCGCAAUGUAUUCAGUGAUGAAGCUGUUGCUGCUUACGUUGGAACUAAUAGGGAGGCUUUGAAGGAAUUGUCUUUCAAUUUUGCCAGUAAGUAAGAUUGGUACAGCAUGCAAUAGGAGUGGUACUACUGGGAUGCCAAGUUUCAUUUCUCAGAUACUUGUUUCUAAUCCCAUGGGCACAGACGCGAACAUUACAAAUACUUCUAGAAUGUCUGAUUUUGGGGUGCUCGAGCAAUAUCUUGGACUCCGUAUUGGAGAUGGCGCUAAUGUUAAUCGAACAUGUAUUUUGAUCUCGGCUCUUGGAGUUGGAUUGAGGUCGUGUUCGGGUUUCGAGUUUCCGUCCGCAGUUCGUCACAUUUUUUGAGUUCAAAGCUGUCAAACAAUUGAAUUUCAGACCUAUUUGAGGUUCAUUUCUUCGCAUCCUUUCUUUUAAAUUCUAAACUAGUUGAUGAAUAUUCUGUUCUAUGUCCCAAAAUGAAACCUGCUUAUAUGUCUUUGGUAUUG